rnacentral:rRNA from 1 species
UAGGGAAUCUUCGGCAAUGGACGAAAGUCUGACCGAGCAACGCCGCGUGAGUGAAGAAGGUUUUCGGAUCGUAAAACUCUGUUGUUAGAGAAGAACAAGGAUGAGAGUAAAAUGUUCAUCCCUUGACGGUAUCUAACCAGAAAGCCACGGCUAACUACGUGCCAGCAGCCGCGGUAAUACGUAGGUGGCAAGCGUUGUCCGGAUUUAUUGGGCGUAAAGCGAGCGCAGGCGGUUUCUUAAGUCUGAUGUGAAAGCCCCCGGCUCAACCGGGGAGGGUCAUUGGAAACUGGGAGACUUGAGUGCAGAAGAGGAGAGUGGAAUUCCAUGUGUAGCGGUGAAAUGCGUAGAUAUAUGGAGGAACACCAGUGGCGAAGGCGUCUCUCUGGUCUGUAACUGACGCUGAGGCUCGAAAGCGUGGGGAGCGAACAGG